AACGCACAUUGCGCCCUCUGGUAUUCCGGGGGGCAUGCCUGUUCGAGCGUCAUUACACCACUCAAGCUCAGCUUGGUAUUGGAGGCCGCCCCCCGGGGCGCCCCCGAAAAGUAGCGGCGAAGCGGCCGGAUUCUCUAGCGCAGUGACAUAAAUCUCGCUACAAGGAGUCGGACGUUUCCGCCGGACAACCAACCAUUUUUUCAAAGGUUGACCUCGGAUCAGGUAGGGAUACCCGCUGAACUUAA
rnacentral:misc_RNA from 1 species